rnacentral:rRNA from 1 species
CCUACGGGAGGCAGCAGUGAGGAAUAUUGGUCAAUGGCCGGGAGGCUGAACCAGCCAAGUCGCGUGAGGGAAGACGGCCCUACGGGUUGUAAACCUCUUUUGUCAGGGAGCAAGGUGCAGGUCGGGACCUGCUGUGCGCGUACCUGAAGAAAAAGCAUCGGCUAACUCCGUGCCAGCAGCCGCGGUAAUACGGAGGAUGCGAGCGUUAUCCGGAUUUAUUGGGGUUAAAGGGUGCGCAGGCGGAGGCACAAGUCAGCGGCAAAAUCGCGGGGCUCAACCCCGCUCCGCCGUUGAAACUGGGGACCUUGAGUGCGCGAAGGGUAGGCGGAAUGCGUGGUGUAGCGGUGAAAUGCAUAGAUAGCACGCAGAACUCCGAUCGCGAAGGCAGCCUACCGGCGCGCAACUGACGCUCAUGCACGAAAGCGUGGGUAUCGAACAGGAUUAGAUACCCCUGUAGUC